CAAUUAUGGGCUCCAUCCCCACGCGACUAUGGCUCACACUGGCAAAAACUUGAGGGAAACGUCGUUCGUUAACGACGAGGAAAGGAGGAACAAGAAACCUCCAAAUUAUCGAACGAUCAAAAGGUCUAAAUUUGAGGGGAAAAAAUCAAAAUUCUGACAAAGAAAACAAUCCCAAGUUUUUGCUCUGAAGUUUACUUCUUUCAUAUCUCCAGAAUAUGAAAUCUGCUUUGAAAAUGGCGUCUUCACCAAUUUGCUCACUGGUUUCCCCGCCCCAUUAUCUACCGCGCAGAAACGCGACGUUUCUUCCCAAAAUAGGUUAUGAAAAUCGCAAGAACGAAGUGGGGUCGGGCUCUUUUCGGUCAUCCUGUUCGACUGGGGUUGUGACAUGUGCAGUUGGGGAUGUGCACAGGAAAAGAAGUAGUCUUGAAUCUCUUUUUUGUUAUGAUAAGCCUAUUCCAGAAGAAAUAAUUGAGAAGCCCAUAGGGAUAUCCAUGGCCGAGAAAAACGUUGGAGAUAAUCCCCGCUGCCCAAGUUGUCAAGCAAAAGGAGCUACUCUUUGCACCACAUGUUCUGGAUCAGGCUUAUAUGUGGACUCUAUCUUGGAGAGUCAAGGAAUCAUUGUCAAAGUGCGUUGUUUAGGUUGUGGGGGAACUGGGAACACCAUGUGUUCAGAAUGUGGUGGAAGGGGUCACAUUUGACUUGCCCGAAAUUCAACAUUCACUUCUUGUUACUCUAGUUGCAUCCUCAAUGUCAAAAGAUGCACAUUUCCGGCAAGAGUGUGAGAAGGUGCAAGGGAAAAUAAUUCAGUAAUUACCAUUUAUUGAAAUUGAAAAAACCUUUUGGCUCUAAAGCAGAAUUAAUUGCAAAAUCUGGACUAAGCAAAAGUUUUUGUAUAUUAAUAGACUCGUUGAAAGUGAUGAAAUUAGUCGGUGGACUUUUCCUCUAGACGACGAUGACUGGAAAGAAAAGAGACCACAAUGGGAUUAUAUGCAUUACAGUUUUACAUACAUGUAUGUAAAAGAUAUUAAAAAUGUGUCUCUAUAACAUGGAUUCUACAUGAGCCGUACGAACCAACUCUUGUGAAUUUUGUACUUGUGAUCUUUCUAUCUCCCGGAUAUAAUCUGGAAUAGUACUGUCAAAUUGCUGGCUCUGGGGGUUUUCUGCAUAUGCAACAUAAUACGCUGCAAUGCUGGCUUGUACCCAUGCCAUGGCGACCCUACUCUACAAUUUGUACAUCAAGUAAGAAGUUAGUUUGCAUUUCUUACUAAUAUAAAUGCUUCUUUUACCCGUAAGGCUUGAAUCCUUACCAUAAAAUAUCCGAUUAAGAAUGUGUACAAGGACACUUCUGUUGCAUAGGUCUUGUGGAUCAGAAGUGCCCAACUACCACCAACUAGUGCACAUAUGGAUCCUGCUGCCACCCCGGAGAGGAAGCAGAAUGAACUGGUGAGGUCAGAGUUUAUCAGCUUUUCCAUUCCAAGUCUUCUGAACAUCUCCCAUGUAUCCGUUGAUGCUCGCACAAUCCCUUUGCUGUAAACCCCUACUUGCACAAAGCCCCAUCUAUUCCCAUAUGCUACAAGCUUUAAUGCAACUCCAGAACAGCAAUUUGCGGAGCACAUGAACUCAUCUGCGUCUCCAGAAACCAAAUUUACACCUCGAGCUGAACCCCGGAUGACACCAAGAACUGCUUCCUAGGAUGAGGAAUAUGAAUAGAGUAUCGAUCUCUGUUGCAGUGGCGGUGGCUCCCCCAAUGCCGGACAUCAAGGAAGCCAAAUAAACAGUGCAUAUGAUUAUUGAAAGAAGUACCAUGGCUUUCACUUUUGGAGGAUGAUGUGCUAUGGAAACUGUUACUAUCCUAUUUGCAUGCUGAAAUCUGGGACUAACCCAACAGGCGUACAGGGAUUGAAUCACAGAAGAAACCAGGGCAAUCACCGAUGCUGCUACACUCCCUGGAGUUUCUAUGGAGACAAGUAAGAUCCCAAAUGCACAGGUAAGGAGAGGGCUAAGCCAGAAUGUGGCCUUAACCAUUCUUAAAGGACUGAAACAUGUCAACUCUUGCCAUGCAAAUCCUAUGAUUCCUGCACAAGCCGUUGAAGAGAGGACUGGAACGUACCAUUUCUUUGGGUGGAAAUGAUGGGUGUGGGCAGCCGAUAAGACACCACGUACCGUGAGAACAAGUACCAGAACUGUGAUAACUAGAAAUUGUACAUAGAAAAGGUACUGAAACAGCUUGUUAACAAAGCUUCUAUCCGUCCUCAUCUCUACGUGGGUACCAUUUCUUUCCUGUAUCUGCAUUGAAAACCCUUAGUCAGAUGAUUGACACAUCAAGAAACAGAAGAGUAUGCAGAACUUAGCCGCAGGGAAACAAGAAAGUCGAGCAGCAAGGCAGACGGUGCCCGAUCCUCUGCCUCCACAGACAUCAAGAAACUAGAAUUGAGAUGACCUUUGGGGCAGGGCAGGCGGGGUGGGACGUUGACUUCACCUUGAUCAUCUCACCAUCUGUUCUGUCUUGGCACUAUAUUCAAUUCCUUGGCAUCCACGAUUCAGCAAGACUAGAGCUCUACUUUCAACUUGGAACCAAUUUUAAACCACGACUACAGAUCAUUGGAGGUCUUCUUGAAGACAUUAUUUUAAACGUGAUUCAUAGCUACAUGUGGUGUAGAUGUGUGCUACACGCUAUUGAUCUUGCCUCUAUAGAAGUUUGAAUAUGAUUGACCUGUGAGUAAAGUGAAUAACGGUAGCAAGCAUCCCCUCCUUUUUCCAGUCAAGAAUCCAAUUCAAAAUCAAAUAGGAUUCAGCUUUAAUUCGUACUUGAGUUUGAGGCUUUGAGCCGAAAAGAGGCCCAGAUUUCAGGGA